CAACAAAGUGAAGUCAAUGAUAUAGGACAAUGAUUUUACACUACAAGGGGGGUUGCUAAGCUAAAAUCUAGGCUUUUGCUAAAAAACUCAUUUUAUAUAUUUGGUUAUUUUGGGUUCUGAGAGCAUGAAGUGCAAUGAAAUGGUCUCUCACCUGUGUGGGUGGGUAGGUGUCGGUUCAGAUGAUUCUUUUGUGUGAAGCUCUGAGGGCAUGCAGGGCACUGAAACGGUCUCUCGCCAGUGUGGGUGCGCAGGUGUUGGUUCAAGAUAUUCUUUCGUGAGAAGCUCUGAGGGCAUGAAGGGCACUGAAAUGGCCUGUCGCCUGUGUGGAUGCGCACAUGAUCUUUCAGUGUGGACUUGUGCGAGAACCUCUGAAAGCAAGAAGGGCACU